CCUACGGGAGGCAGCAGUGGGGAAUAUUGGGCAAUGGAGGCAACUCUGACCCAGCAACGCCGCGUGAAUGAUGAAGGUCUUCGGAUUGUAAAGUUCUGUUCUCAGGGAAGAAGAAAGUGACGGUACCUUAGGAAUAAGCCUCUGCUAACUACGUGCCAGCAGCCGCGGUAAUACGUAGGAGGCAAGCGUUAUCCGGAAUGACUGGGCGUAAAGGGUGCGUAGGUGGUUCAGCAAGUUAGUAGCGUAAUUCCGGAGCUCAACUUCGGCACUACUACUAAAACUGUUGGACUUGAGUGCAGGUGGGGAAACUGGAAUUUCUAGUGUAGCGGUGGAAUGCGUAGAUAUUAGGAAGAACACCGGUGGCGAAGGCGAGUUGCUGGACUGUAACUGACACUGAGGCACGAAAGCGUGGGGAGCAAACAGGAUUAGAUACCCGUGUAGUC
rnacentral:rRNA from 1 species